rnacentral:rRNA from 1 species
UACGGAGGAUCCAAGCGUUAUCCGGAUUUAUUGGGUUUAAAGGGUCCGUAGGCGGUCUAAUAAGUCAGUGGUGAAAGCCCAUCGCUUAACGAUGGAACGGCCAUUGAUACUGUUAGACUUGAAUUAUUGGGAAGUAACUAGAAUAUGUAGUGUAGCGGUGAAAUGCUUAGAUAUUACAUGGAAUACCAAUUGCGAAGGCAGGUUACUAUCAAUAUAUUGACGCUGAUGGACGAAAGCGUGGGGAGCGAACAGG